rnacentral:lncRNA from 1 species
UGGAAAGUUCAUUAGGAAACAAAUUCGAAGAGUCUUGGACUAUCAGGAUCUCUUGAAUACAAAUUUCUUUCUUAAGUUUGCCCAGUGUAGAGAAAACAACAGAGUUAAAACGCUAUGUAAUAAGGAAAUUGCUAUGAGGAAAUAAUAUUUAAAAUUUUUAUUAACUUGUAAAUGACUCUUGGUUAGAAGGCUUAAAUACAAUUUUUCUAGUGGAGACAAUCCACGGUGGCGUGAUACGCUGCUAUCCAGUUCAUUCUUAUAAAUACAUCAGGGUCCUCCAUGUCAAUCUCUAUCAGGUCCAUCAUUGGUGAAACCGAGUCCCGUAAAAGAGGGGCUAGAUGUUGUUGGGGAGGGACCGAAUGACCCUAUAACGGUGCCGAAUGAUACGAUAAAGGAGUAGGGUUCCAUCGAGGUGGCGUUAGAUCCUUUCGUUGUAGGGGUGGCUAAUAUUAUGG